CUAGGAGCUCUUGAGUUUUCAGUCUUCCUCCUCUUUCCUUCCUGAAGCCCUUGGGCCGGUGAAUCACUUUUCCCAAUUUGGCUGAACCAAGUACCACUCAGUCCCCAGGAGGAGCUGUGGCUGCAGAAUCACUUGGCGUCCCUCGAGGGGGUGCUUGGUUGCCACCAGAACCCAUUAGUGAAUGCGGAGCAGGUUUUCAAAGGGACCAUGGUUGUUGGCAGAAAGGCUAUGCUCUUCCUCCAAAAUACUAAUGCACCCUAGUUCUUCCACUAGCCUUGGGAUCCAAAAUAUUCCCCAGAAAGGUCUUUCCCUGGCCCUCUGCUUCCUGCCACCAUGAGGUGAGCAGCCUUCCUCUCCCAUGCCCUUCCGCCAUGAUACUUCUGCUGUGGAACCAGCCAACCAUGGACUGAAAUGAAACGUACCGACGAUUCAACCCAAGGCCUUCACAUUGAGCUACAUCCCCAGCCCUUUUCCGCUCGGUGAUCUGCUGUGGGCAUUAACGACAUCAUCGGUUAUUGUAAACUACUAAAAAUAAAUCCAAACUUCUUCCUAGUACUUAUGGACAUUUAUAAUCUGGUUACCAACCUGCUUUUUCAGAUUAAUUUAUUAAAAUUUUUUAAAUUUAAAAUUUAUUUUUGUGCAGUACAGGGUAUUGGACCGUCACACUGCUUUUUCAGAUUUAUAUAAUGAAACUGCGGAGCCGGGUGUGGUGGUGCACACCUGUGAUCCCAGCAUUCUAGGAGGCUGAGGCAGGAGGAUUGCAAGUUCGAGCCCAGCCUGGGCCAUAGUGAUUUAGUGCUGGGAAUGCAGCUCAAUGUGAUGGUCCUGGGUUCAAUCGCUAGGCUGACAAAAACCAAAAACAUCUCCAGGCACAUUUGCAAAAUAAGCCAUGAAAUUUAUGUUUUACCUCUGGGGAAAGAAAGGCACCACAAUUUUUCUCUUUGUGCAGUUCUUACUUGACUUCUGUGUCAAAAUUAAGGCACAGCUCACACGUGAGACAACCUGAUUUCCAAGCUUUUCCUCAUCCUGU
ensembl:lncRNA